GUGGAGCAACCGUAUUUUACACCAAUACACAGUUGUUCAGCACCUUAUUAGUAUACUGGCAGCUGUUGCAGGAGACCUAGUAAAUGAGAAACUGAAAACUCUGGAGAGCUAUCAGCUGAACUGCGGCUUUAGGAAACCUGCAGGCUAUCUAGAUCUGUCUGUAAAAAAUACUGCAGUGGGAGCACUGAAGUUGAACUUCUCUGAGAAGUAAAAUUUGUGUGCACAGGCAGAAGAAUAUUAGUGACACCUGAAAUUCUGCUUUAUGAUUUCAUAUUGAGCAUUCUUUUAUUUUAAAAGAAUUUCCAUGUAUAAUUCAUAUGUGCAGCUGCAAACAGAAGGGAUGCAAAGCAGUAAAACCAGCAGGGAAUGAGGCUUAUAAAAAUAUUGCUCUUUUGCAAUACAGUUGAAAUGCAAUGGAAUUGAAGAUGAAAUUCUUUAAAGAAGUAAAUGCAACACCAUAUAUACCUGUUGGUAAGAGAGAUUCCAUCUGGAGGGAAUACAUGUUUGUAAAAAAAGCUCAAGUAAAAUUGAAAGGACACUAUGUGAGGGUACUUUAAGUACAAAUGGGUAUUCACUGUCAACUUAUGUGGAUGAAAAGAUCUUCAGAAUAGGAGUAGUGAAACCCACCUGAGCUGAAAGAACCUGCAGCAGAGGAAAUCAUAUAGACUAGGAUCUACAGUUCACAUUCAGACUUCACAUACCUCUGUAGUCCUGACUUCUCAUCUUUCAAGCUGAUAACAACAUUUUUCUGUAAAGAAAAG
rnacentral:lncRNA from 1 species